rnacentral:rRNA from 1 species
GACGAACGCUGGCGGCGUGCUUAACACAUGCAAGUCGAGCGAGUGGAUUCCCUUCGGGGAUGAAGCUAGCGGCGGACGGGUGAGUAACACGUGGGCAACCUGCCUUAUAGAGGGGGAUAGCCUUCCGCAAGGAAGAUUAAUACCGCAUAACAUCAGAUUAUCGCAUGGUAGACUGAUCAAAGGAGCAAUCCGCUAUAAGAUGGGCCCGCGUCGCAUUAGCUAGUUGGUGAGGUAACGGCUCACCAAGGCGACGAUGCGUAGCCGACCUGAGAGGGUGAUAGGCAACAGUGGGACUGAGACACGGCCCAGACUCCGACGGGAGGCAGCAGUGGGGAAUAUUGCACAAUGGGGGAAACCCUGAUGCAGCAACGCCGCGUGAGUGAUGAAGGCCUGCGGGUUGUAAAGCUCUUUGAUCAGGGACGAUAAUGACGGUACCUGAAGAACAAGCCACGGCUAACUACGUGCCAGCCGCCGCCGUAAUAC